CCUACGGGAGGCAGCAGUGGGGAAUUUUGGACAAUGGGCGCAAGCCUGAUCCAGCAAUGCCGCGUGAGUGAAGAAGGCCUUCGGGUUGUAAAGCUCUUUUGUCAGGGAAGAAACGGUGGGGGCUAAUAUCUCCCACUAAUGACGGUACCUGAAGAAUAAGCACCGGCUAACUACGUGCCAGCAGCCGCGGUAAUACGUAGGGUGCAAGCGUUAAUCGGAAUUACUGGGCGUAAAGCGUGCGCAGGCGGUUUUGUAAGUCUGUCGUGAAAGCCCCGGGCUCAACCUGGGAAUUGCGAUGGAGACUGCAAGGCUUGAAUCUGGCAGAGGGGGGUAGAAGUUCCACGUGUAGCAGUGAAAUGCGUAGAGAUGUGGAGGAACACCGAUGGCGAAGGCAGCCCCCUGGGUCAAGAUUGACGCUCAUGCACGAAAGCGUGGGGAGCAAACAGGAUUAGAUACCCUGGUAGUCCACGCCCUAAACGAUGUCUACUAGUUGUCGGGUUUUAAUUAACUUGGUAACGCAGCUAACGCGUGAAGUAGACCGCCUGGGGAGUACGGUCGCAAGAUUAAAACUCAAAAGGAUUGACGGCUGAGACGNGCGAGACGACGACGAGGGAGGAGG
rnacentral:rRNA from 1 species